GACGAACGCUGGCGGCGUGCCUAAUACAUGCAAGUUGAGCGCUGAAGGUUGGUACUUGUACCAACUGGAUGAGCAGCGAACGGGUGAGUAACGCGUGGGGAAUCUGCCUUUGAGCGGGGGACAACAUUUGGAAACGAAUGCUAAUACCGCAUAAAAACUUUAAACACAAGUUUUAAGUUUGAAAGAUGCAAUUGCAUCACUCAAAGAUGAUCCCGCGUUGUAUUAGCUAGUUGGUGAGGUAAAGGCUCACCAAGGCGAUGAUACAUAGCCGACCUGAGAGGGUGAUCGGCCACAUUGGGACUGAGACACGGCCCAAACUCCUACGGGAGGCAGCAGUAGGGAAUCUUCGGCAAUGGACGAAAGUCUGACCGAGCAACGCCGCGUGAGUGAAGAAGGGUUUCGGAUCGUAAAACUCGGUUGGUAGAGAAGAACGUUGGUGAGAGUGGAAAGCUCAUCAAGUGACGGUAACUACCCAGAAAGGGACGGCUAACUACGUG
rnacentral:rRNA from 1 species